GGCCAGAUAGCUCAAUCGGUAGAGCACCUGACUCGAGAUUCAGGGGGCCCAGGGUUUGAACCCCUGUUUGGUCC